UAUAGUCCCUCUAUUGUAAUAUGCACAUUUAUUUUGAGAAAUAUUGCUAAAUAGCUUACUGAAAUGUAACAAUUUACAUAUUUAUAAGAAUGCAUGACUUUGCCGAUAUCCUUACACUCACUAACUCUGGAUAUUAUUAUUAUUCUUAAUCUUAGCCUGUCCUAUAAGUAAAAUUAAUUUCUUUUUGUUUAAAUUCAAGUUGUUAGAGAGGUUAGAAAUAUUUCAUAUUCUUAUGAUGGUUUUUAAAAUUAAUUUUUAAGAGCUUUCUACGUAAAGUGAUACUUACCUCUCUCAUAUAUACUGAAAGCAUUUUCUGCCAAUUCACAGUGUCUCUUAACGUUAUUCAUAACCUCUUCUUAUAUAAAGUUAUAUAGUUUCAUAUAAUCAAAUGUGUUAAUCUUUUUCUAGGGCUUCUAGAUGUCAUAUCAUGGUUAGGAAGAAUUAAAGAAAUGUUUUCAUCUACAUCUUAUUAGUGAAUCGUGGGAACAAAAAAACUGAGAAUCUAAGAGUCAUAGAACUAUUUUACAUAUCUAUGGGUUGACAUAACCUGUUUACUACAUUAACAUCAUCAAAAAAACCUAUGUUAUCUUUUCUUUCUGUUUAUCAUUCCCUUUCUAUCUUUCCAACAUGCUGUUUCCAGCAACUACUGCAUUCUACUGAGAAGGCUAAGAAAAGGUUAGAAGAUAUUUUUAUGACUAAAAGCAAUUAUCUUAAAACUAAAAAUGAAAAGGACUUUAUAAUAACUUCAGUUGCAUACCUAUGAAUAUUGCUCAUGUCAAGCUCUCAAAAACAGUAACUGCUAACUGAAUAAAGUGGAAUUUUUAAGUUUGGGAACA
rnacentral:lncRNA from 13 species